AUACUCUCAAGCUUGACCUUUUUUUCAUUAAGAAGGUCAUAGUUUGGAUUUGGAUGUUGCUGCGGUUGUACUAUCGCGGCUCGUCUCGAAAUGCAUUAGCUGGUCCACCGCGGUCUAUUAUAAAACUCUAUGGUGUGAUAAGAACACAAAUUCUUUGUAGCGCUAUAGUGAAUAGACCAUGGGAUGUGAUUGCUUCUAAUAGUCCAUUGACUUGGACAAUAUCACUUUGUU
rnacentral:misc_RNA from 1 species